rnacentral:rRNA from 1 species
GACGAACGCUGGCGGCGUGCCUAAUACAUGCAAGUCGAGCGGACUUAACAAGCUUGCUUUCUAAGUUAGCGGCGGACGGGGGAGUAACACGUGGGCAACCUGCCUGUAUGACUGGGAUAACUUCGGGAAACCGGAGUUAACACCGGAUAAUCCUUUUUUACUCAAGUAGAAAAGCUGAAAGACGGAUUACGUUGUAACAUACAGAUGGGCGCGCGUCGCAUUCGCUAGUUGGUGAGGUAACGGCUCACCAAGGCGACGAUGCUUAGCCGACCUGAGCGGGUGAUCGGCCACACUGGGACUGAGACACGGCCCAGACUCCUACGGGAGGCAGCAGUAGGGAAUCUUCCGCGAUGGACGAAAUUCUGACGUGGCAACGCCGCGUGAGUGAUGAAGGUCUUCGGAUCGUAAAACUCUGUUGUUAGGGAAGAACAAGUACGCGAGUAACUGCUCGUACCUUGACGGUACCUAACCAGAAAGCCACGGCUAACUACGUG